rnacentral:lncRNA from 1 species
UUUCUGCCUAAAUUAUUACAUGUUGCAUGUAAAAUAAAAUGUAUUGCUGCAUUAAUGAGUCGAAAAUGCAAAUUUUUGGCUUGAAUGAAUUACAGUUGAAAACAAUUAAUUCCUGUUUGAUUUUAAUAACCAAAACUUAAUUUUGGACGUGUUCAUCGGAAUACUUGCGUUACCAAAUUGGCAAUAAGUGACGGAUAAACAGUUAACAAUGUGAUCAUUAUUUCAAAUCAACGAUUGGCCAUUGUCUAAAUAGAUUUAAGACGUUUUUCCCCAAAAUUGAUCAUAAAUGAAAGCUUGACAAAUUACUGUCACAAACUUUAGGUUUAUUAAAAUAUAUUGUAUUUUAUUCAGUCAUGAAUGCUAAUGCAAUUGAAUGAUGUAUGCUCUGUAAUUAAUGUAUUACAACAUUGUAAAAGAUUCUUGCAUAGGCUUUCUGAAUACAAACCAUACAUAUAACUUUAUUGGUUCAUAUUUUCCGCAUUCAAUAUCUUUGGGAUUUAAACAUGUUAAAUAGAGAAAACGUUUUCUUAUUUUCAUAUGAAUC